GAUGAACGCUGGCGGCGUGCCUAAUACAUGCAAGUAGAACGCUGAAGGAGGAGCUUGCUCUUCUGGAUGAGUUGCGAACGGGUGAGUAACGCGUAGGUAACCUGCCUGGUAGCGGGGGAUAACUAUUGGAAACGAUAGCUAAUACCGCAUGACAACAGUUAUUGCAUGAUAACUGUUUAAAAGGGGCAACUGCUCCACUACCAGAUGGACCUGCGUUGUAUUAGCUAGUUGGUGAGGUAACGGCUCACCAAGGCGACGAUACAUAGCCGACCUGAGAGGGUGAUCGGCCACACUGGGACUGAGACACGGCCCAGACUCCUACGGGAGGCAGCAGUAGGGAAUCUUCGGCAAUGGACGGAAGUCUGACCGAGCAACGCCGCGUGAGUGAAGAAGAUUUUCGGAUCGUAAAGCUCUGUUGUAAGAGAAGAACGAGUGUGAGAGUGGAAAGUUCACACUGUGACGGUAUCUUACCAGAAAGGGACGGCUAACUACGUG
rnacentral:rRNA from 1 species